rnacentral:rRNA from 1 species
CAGCCGCCGCGGUAAUACGAAGGUCCCGAGCGUUGUUCGGAAUCACUGGGCGUAAAGGGAGCGUAGGCGGCGUGGUAAGUCAGAUGUGAAAUCCCGGGGCUCAACCCCGGAACUGCAUCCGAUACUGCCAUGCUAGAGGAUUGGAGAGGUAGCUGGAAUUCUUGGUGUAGCAGUGAAAUGCGUGGAGAUCAAGAGGAACACUCGUGGCGAAAGCGAGCUACUGGACAAUAACUGACGCUGAGGCUCGAAGGCCAGGGUAGCGAAAGGGAUUAGAUACCCCCGUAGUCCCUGUCUCUUAUAC